rnacentral:tRNA from 1 species
CACAUGGCUCAGUGGUAGAGCACUUCCUUGGUAAGGAAGAGGUCGCUGGUUCGAUUCCAGCUGUGGG